GAUGAACGCUGGCGGCGUGCUUAACACAUGCAAGUCGAACGGAAAGGCCAGUGCUUGCACUGGUGCUCGAGUGGCGAACGGGUGAGUAACACGUGGGUGAUCUGCCCUGCACUUCGGGAUAAGCCUGGGAAACUGGGUCUAAUACCGGAUAGGACAAUGGUUUGGAUGCCGUUGUGGAAAGUUUUUUCGGUGUGGGAUGAGCUCGCGGCCUAUCAGCUUGUUGGUGGGGUAAUGGCCUACCAAGGCGUCGACGGGUAGCCGGCCUGAGAGGGGGUACGGCCACAUUGGGACGGAGAUACGGCCCAGACUCCUACGGGGGGCAGCAGUGGGGAAUAUUGCACAAUGGGCGCAAGCCUGAUGCAGCGACGCCGCGUGGGGGAUGACGGCCUUCGGGUUGUAAACUCCUUUCGCUAGGGACGAAGCGUAUUUGUGACGGUACCUGGAGAAGAAGCACCGGCUAACUACGUG
rnacentral:rRNA from 1 species